rnacentral:rRNA from 1 species
AGAUUAAGCCAUGCAUGUCUAAGUACAAACUAUAUUAAAGUGAAACCGCGAAAGGCUCAUUAAAUCAGUUAUGGUUCCUUAGAUCGUACCACAAUUACUUGGAUAACUGUGGUAAUUCUAGAGCUAAUACAUGCAAACAGAGCUCUGACCGGAGACGGAAGGAGUGCUUUUAUUAGAUCAAAACCAAUCGGUGGCGGUAACGUUUCGGCGUUAUCGUUCAUCGCUCAAUAUAUGGUGAAUCUGAAUAACUUUAUGCUGAUCGCAUGGUCUUGUACCGGCGACGCAUCUUUCAAAUGUCUGCCUUAUCAACUGUCGAUGGUAGGAUCUGCGCCUACCAUGGUUGUAACGGGUAACGGGGAAUCAGGGUUCGAUUCCGGAGAGGGAGCCUGAGAAACGGCUACCACAUCCAAGGAAGGCAGCAGGCGCGCAAAUUACCCACUCCCGGCACGGGGAGGUAGUGACGAAAAAUAACGAUACGGGACUCAUCCGAGGCCCCGUAAUCGGAAUGAGUACACUUUAAAUCCUUUAACAAGGACCAAUUGGAGGGCAAGUCUGGUGCCAGCAGCCGCGGUAAUUCCAGCUCCAAUAGCGUAUAUUAAAGUUGUUGCGGUUAAAAAGCUCGUAGUUGAAUUUGUGUCCCGCACUGUCGGUUCACCGCCCGCGGUGCUAACUGGCAUGUUUGCGGGACGUCCUGCCGGUGGAUGUUCAGUUGUUAUUUGACUUUCGGGUUAUUUACAACUUCAUCCGACUUUGAAAUCCUGUCGCGGUGCUCUUAAUUGAGUGUCGAGGCGGGCCGGCACGUUUACUUUGAACAAAUUAAAGUGCUCAAAGCAGGCUAAUUAAUGCCUGAAUAAUUAGUGCAUGGAAUAAUGAAACAGGACCUUGGUUCUAUUUUGUUGGUUUUCGGAACCCCAAGGUAAUGAUUAAUAGGGACAGAUGGGGGCAUUCGUAUUGCGACGUUAGAGGUGAAAUUCUUGGAUCGUCGCAAGACGGACUAAAGCGAAAGCAUUUGCCAAAGAUGUUUUCAUUAAUCAAGAACGAAAGUCAGAGGUUCGAAGGCGAUCAGAUACCGCCCUAGUUCUGACCAUAAACGAUGCCAGCUAGCGAUCCGCCAAAGUUCCUCCGAUGACUUGGCGGGCAGCUUCCGGGAAACCAAAGCUUUUGGGUUCCGGGGGAAGUAUGGUUGCAAAGCUGAAACUUAAAGGAAUUGACGGAAGGGCACCACCAGGAGUGGAGCCUGCGGCUUAAUUUGACUCAACACGGGAAACCUCACCAGGCCCAGACACUGGAAGGAUUGACAGAUUGAGAGCUCUUUCUUGAUUCAGUGGGUGGUGGUGCAUGGCCGUUCUUAGUUGGUGGA